rnacentral:rRNA from 1 species
GGAUUCCCCCAGUAACGGCGAGCGAAGCGGGAAGAGUUCGAGCAGUCAAUCUCUGGCGCUCGUCGCCAGCGAAUUGUGGCCGGUCGAGGCAACUGCACCCGAGGCGCCACCGCCCAAGUUGACCUGGAAAGGCACGUCGGAGAGGGUGAUAGCCCCGUGCGGGGCGGGGGUGCCGAGGGCCGCUACUGUCUUCCGAGAGUCGGGUUGUUUGAGAUUGCAGCCCAAAGUGGGUGGUAAACUCCAUCUAAAGCCAAAUACCGGCACGAGACCGAUAGCGAACAAGUACCGUGAGGGAAAGGUGAAAAGCACUUUGGAAAGAGAGUUAAAGAGACCGCGAAACCGUUAGGAGGGAAACGCAUGCAGCCGAACGGGCCCUCGUCGGGUUCAGGGGGCCGUGUCGGCGCUCUCCGACGUGCGCGGGCGACUCUUCGCGAGGUCGCCGUGUCGGCGCGAGCGCGACGCGCCUCCGCACUCCCGUCGGAACCGGGCCGGCCAAGUGCGGUGGCGCCCGGAGCGAGGAGGGCUGUCGGGCAGGUAGUGCAGCCGGUCGCCGAGACCGGAGGUGAACUUACAGCCGUCAGUCCGGCACGCGCCGGGUCCACCGAGGAGAGCGGUGGCUCAGUUUCCACCCCAGCAGCGCGGGCCUUCCCGUGAGUGGGCAGGCCGGAGCGCUCCCGUUCGUUCGGCCUCCGCGUCGAGGGACCGCUCGCGGUGUCCGUCGUCGGUGUGCGAGUCCGGACGGGAGGCGUCUCACGACCGGCGCUGCGGUCG